AAAUGUACCAAUCCAUGUGUGUUGACCAAAUGACAUUGAAAGUCAAAGUCAAACAAUGAGAAACCAGAAAUGGGAUGAAGAUUGGAGGUCAAACAAUAAGCAAAAUAUUUUUGGCAUUUUUAAUAUCAAAAUAAACUUGAAUUAAAAAUAAAAGAAAGGACAAACUUAAAAAUCACUUCCAAUCAACCUUGAAAGGUCCAAGUGAUUUAUCCCAAGUUCAACAAGGUCAAACAAAGUUUGACAAAAAAAUUCAGCAUUUUUAAAAGUCAGAAACUAAUUUUAAUCAAUUAAAAAUGAAUAAAAAUAACCUAAUUGAACUAAAAUCUCAAAUAAAUCUCAAAUCAAUUAAAAAAUUGAUGAGAAUAUUUUUC
rnacentral:lncRNA from 1 species